rnacentral:tRNA from 1 species
GGAGGGGUGGCCGAGUGGCUGAAGGCGGCGGUUUGCUAAACCGUUAUACGGGUAAUACCGUAUCGGAGGUUCGAAUCCCUCCUCCUCCG